GAACACGACCGCCCCUGCCCGUCAGCAAAAGGAAAAGGGACCACGACGGAUGGAGGGCUUUUGGAAAUUCUUCAUCAUCGUUGACAUAAUCGAUAAUCACCUUUUGUCGACGGUCCCCCUAUUCUCUUUGUGCGUUUGUAUGUGAGACGGAAGCGCCACCAAUGGCGCGAGCCGUUGCCUAUGUACGGUACAAAUAUAGGCAGUAGCUAUACUCGUUAGCUCACACUCUGCCAGUCAACCAGCACAAUAUGUCUCACGGCCAGGAAUUUCAUUGUUUCAGUUUGUGUCAUUGUCGUCUUUUGUCGUUUUUUCUUUUUUUUUGUGGGGGACAUCAUGUCGUUUAUUUCUUUCCGACGCCAGAUACACUGUCGACCUGAUAGCACGGCCCACUGUUCGUGUCUUUUUGAAACGUUUAUAAUCUAAAAGAAAAACCUGGAGGUUAUUCUUAUCGUGAUUAUAUAUGUGCUACGAUUAGAAGGAACAAGUCGAACAAGCAGAGCAGCUCAAUUUCAAUUCCACUUUCCAGCGGGAUGGAGCCAUCUGUUGGAGAUUUCGUUUCACCACAACAGCAGUUAUUCAAAAAAGUUAUCAAGAGAUACACGCAAAAAAUAACAACAACAACAACAAAAAUCAGAAUGCCAGGAAUAAAAAAGAUAUUGGUAAAAUCAACAACAAAGAAGAAACACGAAACAUUCGUGAAGAUCGCAAUCAGCACAGCCGACGGGGAAAUGUGUUCUCGCCAUUCGUGUGUAUGCUGGAUUCACGAGAUAUGAUUCAAAAAAACUAAAACAAAAAAACAAAGACUUUGAAAAAAAAAAAAGAAAGGAAAC